GUGCCAGCAGCCGCGGUAAUACGUAGGUGGCAAGCGUUGUCCGGAUUUAUUGGGCGUAAAGGAUGUGUAGGCGGAUAUUUAAGUGAGAUGUGAAAUCCCCGGGCUUAACUUGGGGGCUGCAUUUCAAACUGGAUGUCUGGAGUGCAGGAGAGGAAAGCAGAAUUCCUAGUGUAGCGGUGAAAUGCGUAGAGAUGAGGAAAAAUACCGGUGGCGAAGGCGGCUUUCUGGAAGGUAACUGCCGCUGAGGCAUG
rnacentral:rRNA from 1 species